rnacentral:misc_RNA from 1 species
CACCGUCUCGCCUGGAGGAGGUUAAUGGAAAGAUUUCCAGAAAGUUUUUAAGUCCGAAUUGGCCUAAUUUGUCAUUAAGUGAUCAAACUGAAGGAAUUGAAGUGAUGAAACCUUUGAGCUUUACAGUAAAGGAAGCAUUAAAGCGAUAUUCUGGAAUGCUGCGUGAGUGUGCUUCAAGAAGAACACUAAAUGAGGGAAAGGGAGUUCAUGGGAACGUGAUUAAAAGCGGGAUAGAGCCAGAUUCACAUUUAUUAGUUUCUUUGAUUAAUUUUUACGUGAAGUGCGGGAGCCUAGUGUUAGCACGCAAGGUGCUUGACGAAAUGUCUGAAAGAGAAGUUGUGUCGUGGACUGCGUUAAUUGCUGGAUAUGCAAGUGAAGGGUGUGCAACUGAUGGCGUUAGCCUUUACUGCGAAAUGAGAAAGGAAAAUAUAAGACCCAAUGAGUUUGCCUUGGCCACCGUGUUGAAAGCAUGCUCCAUGUCUUUGGACAUAGAGUUUGGGAAACAGGCUCAUGCAGAAGCAAUAAAAGCGGGAUUCUUGCUGGAUUUAUUUGUUGGUUCUACUCUUGUUGACCUUUAUGCCAAGUGUGGUGAGGUAGAACUUGCUGAUAGAGUUUUCUUUGGGAUGCCGGAUAAGAAUGACGUGUCAUGGAAUGCUUUGCUUAAUGGUUAUGCUCAAAGGGGUGAUGGAGAAGCGGUUUUGAAGUUGUUUUCUCGGAUGACAGAGUGUGAAAUGAAAUUUAAUAAAUUCACUUUAUCUACAGUGUUAAAGGGUUGUGCAAACUCAGGGAAUUUGCGAGAAGGGAAGAUUUUGCAUUCUUUGGCUAUCAGGAGUGGGUGUGAACUAGAUGAAUUUCUGGGUUGUAGUCUUGUUGAUAUGUACUCCAAGUGUGGGGCGACAUAUGAUGCACAAAUAGUGUUCAGCAGGAUAAAGGAUCCUGAUAUAGUGACCUGGAGUGCUAUGAUUGCGGGCCUUGAUCAGCAGGGCCAUAGCCAAGAAGCAGCUGAGCUAUUUCAUCUGAUGCGAGAUACAGGAGUUAAACCUAACCAAUUUAGCCUUGCUAGUGUUGUUAGUGCUGCUACAAAUAUGGGUGACCUGUGUUUUGGUCAAAGCAUCCAUUCUUGUAUACACAAAUAUGGGCUUGAAUCUGAUAAUUCAGUUGGCAAUGCACUGAUCAUGAUGUACAUGAAAAGUGGAUGCUUGCAAGAUGGUAUCCGGGUUUUUGAAGCAAUGACUGAUCGGGAUUUGGUUUCAUGGAAUGCCCUUUUAUCUGGUUUCCAUGGCUUUGAAACUUGUGAUCAAGGGCUGAGAAUUUUCUACCAGAUGCUUGUGGAAGGUUUCAAGCCCAACAUGUACACAUUUGUUGGCGUUUUAAGGUCUUGUGCUAUCCUUUUGGAUGUGUGCUUUGGAAAGCAAGUGCAUACACAUAUCAUAAAGAACAGCCUUGAUGGUAAUGAUUUUGUUGGAACAGCUCUUAUUGACAUGUAUGCAAAAAGCAAAUGCUUAGAAGAUGCAGAUGUAGCUUUCAAUAGAUUAACAAACAGGGACCUCUUCACUUGGACAGUCAUUAUUACUGGUUUUGCACAAAGUGAUCAAGCAGAAAAGGCUGUUAAGUACUUAGGUCUGAUGCUAAGAGGGGGUAUAAAGCCGAAUGAGUUCACUCUUGCCAGCUGUUUAAGUGGAUGCUCCAGUGUAGCAGCCUUGGGAAAUGGACAGCAGCUCCAUUCUGUGGCAAUAAAGUCUGGGCAUUUUGGCGAUGUGUUUGUUGCAAGUGCUCUUGUUGAUAUGUAUGGGAAAUGUGGGUGCAUAGAAGAUGCUGAGGCCAUUUUUAAGGGCUUGUUUUCACGGGACACAGUCUCGUGGAAUACAAUUAUAUCUGGAUACUCACAACAUGGGCAAGGGAAGAAGGCUCUUGAAGCCUUUAGGCUGAUGUUAGAUGAAGGAAUUGUACCUGAUGAGAUCACUUUCAUAGGGGUUCUUGCUGCAUGUAGCUACAUGGGUUUGGUUGAGGAGGGGAAAAAGCUUUUUAACCUGAUGUGCAAAGAUUAUGGGAUUACUCCUUCAAUUGAGCACCAUGCUUGUAUGGUUGAUGUUCUUGGUCGAGCUGGCAAAUUCAAUGAGGUUGAUAUUUAUAUUGAGGAAAUGAAGCUAAGCCCAUAUUCUUUGAUCUGGGAGACAGUUCUUGGGUCAUGUAAAUUGCAUGGGAAUGUCGACUUUGGUAAACGAGCCGCUGAGAAACUCUUUGAACUUGAACCCAAGGGGGAUUCGAGUUAUAUAUUGCUAUCAAACAUUUUUGCAGCGAGAGGUAGGUGGGAUGACGUUAGAAAUAUCAGGGCUUUGAUGACUACUCAGGGUGUUAAGAAAGAGCCUGGGUGUAGUUGGGUAGAGGUUGAUGGUCAAAUCCAUGUCUUCACAUCUCAAGAUGGUUCCCAUCCGAAAACAAGGGAAAUAUAUGCUACAUUGGAGGAGUUGGGACAAAAAUUGGCUUCAAUAGGUUAUAUACCAAAAACAGAAAACGUGCUCCAUAAUAUCGGUAACAAAGAAAAAAUGGAACAUCUCUACUAUCAUAGUGAAAGAUUGGCUCUUGCUUUUGCCUUCAUAAGCACCAAUCUAAUUAAACCAAUCCGGAUUUUCAAAAAUCUUCGUAUAUGUGGGGAUUGCCAUGAUUUUAUGAAACUCAUCACAGACCUCACAAAUCGUGAAAUAGUUGUCCGUGACAUCAAGCGUUUCCACCAUUUUAAGAGAGGUACUUGCUCUUGCCAGGAUCAUUGGUAAUUUUGCUCUAGAGGUAUGUAGUGAGAUGGACAGAAGGUUCACCUCAUGCGAUCCAGCUCUUCCAAGUCCCGGAACACUAUUUGUUGCCACACUUAUUGGAUCUGUUGCAGGGCCUGGUGAAAUCAAUGCUUGCAGAAUUUUUCCUCAUGAUCUGCUGCUGAAAUUACUUCUGAAAGAAUCACAGUACAGGUUCAUCCAUAUGAAGCCACGUGGGUUAUAAAGUGAUUUAUUCCUGGAGCGUGCCUGUUCGAGGUUCACUCCAAAUGAUGCAAUCAAGUUUAAAGGUGACCAGUGUGGGAAUUUUGAGGCUAUAAUUGGAAAGUGUUGUGCACUUUUCAGUUAUGAUGGUCAAGAUGAACUAUUUGUUGCCGCCUUUCAGUCCUUAUUUAAGCUUCGGUUUAUGCAGGGGAAGAUGGGAAGCAUGAACAACCUGCUGCCAACAGUUUUUUUUGUUGCGAUAAAUUUUUCUGUUGUAUAGAAAGUAUAUAUUUUCUACUUGGGUGAUACAAAUUUAGGAAAAUCACACCCUAAAAGCUAGCUGUUAAGGUUGAAGAGUCCCCCACAUUGAAAUCCUGUACUUUCAAUGUUUUCAAUAUGGGAUAUAAGUUUUCUUGCAAUAGGAUCAUAACAUUCCAUCAUGCUCCGUAGCCCUAACAUCCACACAGACUGCCUUUGUGCUAGCUUAAUCUAGCUGCAAGCAAACAUUGUUAUUCUAACGUCACUGCCUGUAUCAUAGGAUUGCAAUUGAG